AUUGAACGCUGGCGGCAGGCCUAACACAUGCAAGUCGAGCGGAUGAAGGGAGCUUGCUCCUGGAUUCAGCGGCGGACGGGUGAGUAAUGCCUGGGAAUCUGCCUGGUAGUGGGGGAUAACGUCCGGAAACGGGCGCUAAUACCGCAUGCGUCCUGAGGGAGCAAGUGGGGGAUCUUCGGACCUCACGCUAUCAGAUGAGCCUAGGUCGGAUUAGCUAGUUGGUGGGUUAAAGGCCUACCAAGGCGACGAUCCGUAACUGGUCUGAUAGGAUGAUCAGUCACACUGGAACUGAGACACGGUCCAGAGUCCUACGGGAGGCAGCAGUGGGGAAUAUUGGACAAUGGGCGAAAGUCUGAUCCAGCCAUGCCGCGUGUGUGAAGAAGGUCUUCGGAUUGUAAAGCACUUUAAGUUGGGAGGAAGGGCAGUAAGUUAAUACCUUGCUGUUGUGACGUUACCAACAGAAUAAGCACCGGCUAACUUCGUG
rnacentral:rRNA from 1 species